rnacentral:rRNA from 1 species
UGAUCGAARGAUGAAAAGCACUUKGGAAAGAGAGUUAAACAGUACGUGAAAUUGUUGAAAGGGAAGCGCUUGCAAACCAGACUUGCGGGCGGUCGAUCAUCCGAGGUUCUCCCCGGUGCACUCGAUCGUUCUCAGGCCAGCAUCGGUUUCCGGGGUGGGAUAAAGGCGGUGGGAAUGUGGCUCUUCGGAGUGUUAUAGCCCACCGUGCAAUGCCGCCACUGGGGACCGAGGACCGCGCUUCGGCUAGGAUGCUGGCGUAAUGGUUGUAAGCGACCCGUCUUGAAACACGGACCAAG